UAGGGAAUCUUCGGCAAUGGACGCAAGUCUGACCGAGCAACGCCGCGUGAGUGAAGAAGGUUUUCGGAUCGUAAAACUCUGUUGUUAGAGAAGAACAAGGAUGAGAGUAAAAUGUUCAUCCCUUGACGGUAUCUAACCAGAAAGCCACGGCUAACUACGUGCCAGCAGCCGCGGUAAUACGUAGGUGGCAAGCGUUGUCCGGAUUUAUUGGGCGUAAAGCGAGCGCAGGCGGUUUCUUAAGUCUGAUGUGAAAGCCCCCGGCUCAACCGGGGAGGGUCAUUGGAAACUGGGAAACUUGAGUGCAGAAGAGGAGAGUGGAAUUCCAUGUGUAGCGGUGAAAUGCGUAGAUAUAUGGAGGAACACCAGUGGCGAAGGCGGCUCUCUGGUCUGUAACUGACGCUGAGGCUCGAAAGCGUGGGGAGCAGACAGGAUUAGA
rnacentral:rRNA from 1 species